rnacentral:tRNA from 3 species
GCGCGGGUGGCGAAACCGGUAGACGCAGCGGACUUAAAAUCCGCGGCCGCAGGGCAUGCGGGUUCGAGUCCCGCCCCGCGCACCA